GGUUUAGAGUUCAGUUGGUAGAGCAUGAGACUCUUAAGCUCAGGGCCGUCGGUUUGAUUCCCAUAGUGGGCA